rnacentral:rRNA from 1 species
UACGUAGGGUGCAAGCGUUGUCCGGAAUUAUUGGCGUAAAGAGCGUGUAGGCGGCCAGGUAGGUCUGCUGUGAAAACUCGAGGCUUAACCUCGAGCUGUCGGCGGAAACCAUCUGGCUAGAGUCCGGAAGAGGAGAAUGGAAUUCCCGGUGUAGCGGUGAAAUGCGCAGAUAUCGGGAAGAACACCCGUGGCGAAGGCGGCAUUCUGGACCAUUACUGACGCUGAUCCGCGAAAGCUAGGGGAGCAAACGGG